GUGUCAGCAGCCGCGGUAAUACAGAGGGUGCGAGCGUUGUCCGGAAUCACUGGGCGUAAAGGGCGCGUAGGUGGUGGCUUAAGCGUGCGGUGAAAGCUCGGAGCUCAACUCCGAGUCGGCCGUGCGAACUGGGCUCACUGGAGCAUAGUAGAGGCAGGUGGAAUUCCGGGUGUAGCGGUGGAAUGCGUAGAGAUCCGGAAGAACACCGGUGGCGAAGGCGGCCUGCUGGGCUAUGGCUGACACUGAGGCGCGACAGCGUGGGGAGCAAACAGGAUUAGAAACCCGGGUAGUCC
rnacentral:rRNA from 1 species